rnacentral:rRNA from 1 species
GUGAGGAAUAUUGGGCAAUGGGCGCAAGCCUGACCCAGCAACGCCGCGUGAAGGAAGACGGUCUUCGGAUUGUAAACUUCUUUUGUCAGGGACGAAUAAUGACGGUACCUGGCGAAUAAGCCACGGCUAACUACGUGCCAGCAGCCGCGGUAAUACGUAGGUGGCAAGCGUUGUCCGGAUUUACUGGGUGUAAAGGGCGAGUAGGCGGAUUUGCAAGUCAGGUGUGAAAGCCCGGGGCUUAACCCCGGGUCUGCAUUUGAAACUGCGGAUCUUGAGUAUCGGAGAGGCAGGCGGAAUUCCCGGUGUAGCGGUGGAAUGCGUAGAUAUCGGGAGGAACACCAGUGGCGAAGGCGGCCUGCUGGACGACAACUGACGCUGAGGAGCGAAAGCGUGGGGAGCAAACAGGAUUAGAUACCCUUGUAGUAC